rnacentral:rRNA from 1 species
GACGAACGCUGGCGGCGUGCUUAACACAUGCAAGUCGAACGCUGAACCCGCUUCGGUGGGGGAUGAGUGGCGAACGGGUGCGUAACACGUGGGCAACCUGCCCCCGGCUCUGGGAUAACUCCAAGAAAUUGGGGCUAAUACCGGAUGUGACCGCUGGCCGCAUGGUCUGGUGGCGGUAAGGGUUUCCGGCUGGGGAUGGGCCCGCGGCCUAUCAGCUUGUUGGUGGGGUAGUGGCCUACCAAGGCGACGACGGGUAGCCGGCCUGAGAGGGUGACCGGCCACCCUGGGACUGAGACACGGCCCAGACUCCUAUGGGAGGCAGAAGGGGGGAAUAUUGCGCAAUGGGCGGAAGCCUGACGCGGCGACGCCGCGUGGGGGAUGACGGCCUUCUGGUUGUAAACCUCUUUCAGCAGGGACGAAGCGCAAGUGACGGUACCUGAAGAAGAAGCACCGGCCAACUACGUG